AGCAAAUGCUCUACCACUGAGCUAUGGAUGAGCCUCACCCUGGGAAAAUCACCAUCAUGAUCAUGGUAUCUCCCCUGCCAGAACCUGCAGGGCCAGAGAAAGUGACUGGAAACACUUGCAGACUGUGACGUGAGGAGGGCUUUCACCAUAGAAGCAGCUAAAACUGUGUGUGCGUCUUCUAUCUUCUCAACAAGACAAGCUGCUGGACACCUGGAUGAAGUUCACGGUCCAUCAUCUGGGAACCUGCUAUAACAUCUACAACAACGGAAGAGACUUUCCUACUUUAUUCUUCUUUAAUACUCACCCUGUUUUGCUCAUAAUGUCCAGGUUAGUUUACUUAUCCCAGCUGCACCCCAUAAUUUAAUAAGCCAUGUCCUUAAUUUAGGCAUCUGAGAGCUCCUUCAGUAAGUAUUAAUCUUGCUGUUAUAGUAAGGUAAAAUAUAAUCCCUUCUUUUGUUUUAUCUACGGUCCCUUCUAAUAUUUAAAAUAUGAAAUACUUUCAGGUAUAAAAUAUGAAAUACUUUCAGGUAUAAAUCACUUUCUUCCAUAACAUUAUGGCGUUCAAUAUUUGCCUCCAGAAUCCUCCAGCAUAGCCACUAAACAACCAGCAAUGGACAAAGUCCCUUCUUUUUCUUCUACAUUUCCAGAACACAUCAGAGGUUUUCAAUCUGCUUUGGUAUUAUAAUUGGGUUUUGACACCAUGGCAAUAUCAUUUUAAAACUAUUUCCCUGUAACAUGGAAGUCACUGUAUGUAUUUACCUCUUAGCAACAUUACAAUGACAUGUAUCAUUAUUA